CUCCAUCCUGCAGGCACCAUGCAGAUGCUGUGGACCCUUCUGUGCCUGAUGGCAGCUCCUCUGGGUGUCCUGUCUGAUCUGACACUUCGGGAGUCAGGACCUAGCCUGGUGAAGCCAUCGCAGACCCUGUCCCUCACCUGCACAGUCACAGGGGGUUCCAUAAGUAGCUAUGCUUGGAGUUGGAUCCGUCAGCCUCCUGGGAAAGCUCUACAGUGGAUGGGGUACUAUGCAGGAGGUAGUACAAACUACAACCCAGCUUUCCAGGACCGCAUCUCCAUCACUGGUGACGCAGGCAAGAACCAGAUUUUCCUGCAGUUGAACUCCGUGACCACCGAGGACACCGCCGUGUAUUACUGUGCAAGACACAGUGAGAGGAUAUCAAUGUGA